rnacentral:lncRNA from 1 species
AUAUGACUGACAUAUUAUAAUAAAUCUAGGAUAUAAUUUUAUAUUUAAUAUAUUGAUAUGAUCAAUAAAAGGGGUAAGUUCUUUUUCAUUCAAGAGUAAUGUGUCUUUAAAUCAUCCAUAGAAUUAGUUUUGAUACAUAUUCUCAAAGUAUUGAGAAUUAGAAACAUGUAUUUAAUUUCUAAAGGCUCCUGAUCAUAGGAUCAUCAUGAGGGCGAUGAU